rnacentral:rRNA from 1 species
AAUACAUGCAAGUCGAACGCUUUGUGGUUCAACUGAUAUGAAGAGCUUGCUCGGAUUUGAAGAUGAACAUUGCAAAGAGUGGCGAACGGGUGAGUAACACGUGGGAAACCUACCUCUUAGCGGGGGAUAACACUUGGAAACAAGUGCUAAUACCGCAUAAUACUGAUAACCGCAUGGUUAUCAGUUGAAAGAUGGUUCUGCUAUCACUAAGAGAUGGUCCCGCGGUGUAUUAGCUAGUUGGUAAGGUAAUGGCUUACCAAGGCAAUGAUACAUAGCCGAGUUGAGAGACUGAUCGGCCACAAUGGGACUGAGACACGGCCCAUACUCCUACGGGAGGCAGCAGUAGGGAAUCUUCCACAAUGGACGAAAGUCUGAUGGAGCAACGCCGCGUGUGUGAUGAAGGGUUUCGGCUCGUAAAACACUGUUGUAAGAGAAGAAUGACAUUGAGAGUAACUGUUCAGUGUGUGACGGUAUCUUACCAGAAAGGAACGGCUAAAUACGUGCCAGCAGCCGCGGUAAUACGUAUGUUCCAAGCGUUAUCCGGAUUUAUUGGGCGUAAAGCGAGCGCAGACGGUUGUUUAAGUCUGAAGUGAAAGCCCACAGCUUAACUGUGGAAGUGCUUUGGAAACUGGAUAACUUGAGUGCAGUAGAGGAGAGUGGAACUCCAUGUGUAGCGGUGAAAUGCGUAGAUAUAUGGAAGAACACCAGUGGCGAAGGCGGCUCUCUGGACUGUAACUGACGUUGAGGCUCGAAAG